rnacentral:lncRNA from 1 species
AUAUCAUAUAUAUCAUAUAUACAUAUCACAUAUAUAUCACAUUUCUUUAUCAGUUGAUCCAUUGACAGACACUUAGGUUGUUUCCAUAUAAUGAAUAAUGCUUGAGUGAACUUUGGCUUAAAAAUUAUUAUCGUUAUUUCCUUUGGGUUUAUUAAAUAGCCAGAAGUGUGCUUGCUGGAUUAUGUGGUGGUUCUGUUUCCAAUUUUUUGAGGAACCUCCAUGCUCUUUCCGUAGUGGCUGCACCAAAUUACAUUCCCACCAACAAUACACAAGGGUUCCCUUUCUCCACAUCUUUUCAAUACUUGUUAGCUCUUGUCUUCUUGGUGGUAGACAUUCUAAGAGGUGGGAAUGUAUGUCUCAUUGUGGUUUUGAUUUUCAUUUCCCUGAUAAUUAGCGAUGUUGAGUACCUUUUCAUUUACAGUUGUGGACAUUUAGAUGUCUUCCCUGGAAAAAUGUUUAAUCAGCUCCUCUGCCCAUUAUUGAAUCAGAUAAGUUGUUGUUGCUGUUGUUUUUGAGUUGUGUAAGGUCUUUACAUAUUUCGGAUAUUAAUCCCUCAUCCAAUGUAUGAUUUGCACACUCCUCCCAUUCUGUAGGUUGCCUUCUCAUCUUGUCGAUUGUUUCUUUUGCUGUGCAGAAACUUAGUAGUUUGAUAUAAUCCCACUUACUGAUUUUUGUUUUUGUUGCUUUGCUUUUGGUGUCGUAUCCAAAAAUUUAUUGCUAAGGUCAAUGUCAAGGAGCUUCUUUCCUAUGUUUUCUUCUAGGAGUUUUAUGGUCUCCAGUCAUACAUUUAAAUCUUUACUCCAUUUUGAGUUAACUUUUGUAAGUUCUGUAAGAUAAGUGUCCAGUUUCAUUUUUCCAUAUGUGGUUAUUCAGUUUUUUCAACCACAUUAAUUGGAGACACUAUACUCACUGGGUGUUCUUGGCUGCAUUGUCCAAUAUUAAUUGACUAUAUAUUCAGUUGUUUAUUUCUGGGCUUUCCAUUGAUCUAGGGUUUGUUUGUUUUUAAUGUCAUAUUGAUUUAAUUACCAUAGCUUAUAGUCAAGUUUGGAAUCAGGAAGUGUGAUGCCUCCAGCUUAGUUCUUCUUUCUUAGGAUUGUUGUGUUUAUUUGGGAGUCUUUAGUGGUUCAGUACAAAUUUUAAUACUGUUUGUUCUAUUUCUCUGAAAAAUGCCAUUGAAAUUUUGAUAUGCAUUGCAUCAAUCUAUAGAUGACUUUAGAUAGGAUGGAAAUUUAACAAUAUUAAUACUUCUGAUUUGUAAACACAGGAUAUCUUUCCAUUUGUUUGUAUCUUCAGUUUGUUUCACCAAGUUUUUUAGUUGGCCUCAUCCAUAACAUGUGGGAGUUCCUGGACCCUGGAUGGAACCCACACCACAGCAGCAACCCAUGUUGCUGCAGUGACAGUGCUGGAUCCUCAAGCUGCUACACCACAAGAGAACUCCCAAAGUCUUCUGGUUUUCAGAUCUUUCAACUCCUUGGUUAAAUUUAUUCUCAAGUAUUUUAUUGUUUUUGAUGCUAUUGUGAAUAGGAUAUUAUUCUUU